rnacentral:rRNA from 1 species
GAGGAAUAUUGGUCAAUGGACGAGAGUCUGAACCAGCCAAGUAGCGUGAAGGAUGACUGCCCUAUGGGUUGUAAACUUCUUUUAUACGGGAAUAAAGUGAGGCACGUGUGCCUUUUUGUAUGUACCGUAUGAAUAAGGAUCGGCUAACUCCGUGCCAGCAGCCGCGGUAAUACGGAGGAUCCGAGCGUUAUCCGGAUUUAUUGGGUUUAAAGGGAGCGUAGGCGGACGCUUAAGUCAGUUGUGAAAGUUUGCGGCUCAACCGUAAAAUUGCAGUUGAUACUGGGUGUCUUGAGUACAGUAGAGGCAGGCGGAAUUCGUGGUGUAGCGGUGAAAUGCUUAGAUAUCACGAAGAACUCCGAUUGCGAAGGCAGCUUGCUGGACUGUAACUGACGCUGAUGCUCGAAAGUGUGGGUAUCAAACAGGAUUAGAUACCCUGGUAGUCCACACAGUAAACGAUGAAUACUCGCUGUUUGCGAUAUACAGUAAGCGGCCAAGCGAAAGCGUUAAGUAUUCCACCUGGGGAGUACGCCGGCAACGGUGAAACUCAAAGGAAUUGACGGGGGCCCGCACAAGCGGAGGAACAUGUGGUUUAAUUCGAUGAUACGCGAGGAACCUUACCCGGGCUUGAAUUGCAACUGAAUGAUGUGGAGACAUGUCAGCCGCAAGGCAGUUGUGAAGGUGCUGCAUGGUUGUCGUCAGCUCGUGCCGUGAGGUGUCGGCUUAAGUGCCAUAACGAGCGCAACCCUUAUCGAUAGUUACCAUCAGGUUAUGCUGGGGACUCUGUCGAGACUGCCGUCGUAAGAUGUGAGGAAGGUGGGGAUGACGUCAAAUCAGCACGGCCCUUACGUCCGGGGCUACACACGUGUUACAAUGGGGGGUACAGAAGGCAGCUACACGGCGACGUGAUGCUAAUCCCGAAAGCCUCUCUCAGUUCGGAUUGGAGUCUGCAACCCGACUCCAUGAAGCUGGAUUCGCCAGUAAUCGCGCAUCAGCCACGGCGCGGUGAAUACGUUCCCG